UACAGAGGUCUCAAGCGUUUGUUCGGAUUCAUUGGGCGUAAAGGGUGCGUAGGCGGCGCGGUAAGUCGGGUGUGAAAUCUUGGAGCUUAACUCCGAAACUGCAUUCGAUACUGCCGUGCUUGAGGACUGGAGAGGAGACUGGAAUUUACGGUGUAGCAGUGAAAUGCGUAGAUAUCGUAAGGAAGACCAGUGGCGAAGGCGGGUCUCUGGACAGUUCCUGACACUGAGGCACGAAGGCCAGGGGGAGCAAACGGGG
rnacentral:rRNA from 1 species